GACGAACGCUGGCGGCGUGCUUAACACAUGCAAGUCGAACGGAAAGGCCCGGCUUUUGUGGGGUGCUCGAGUGGCGAACGGGUGAGUAACACGUGAGUAACCUGCCCUUGACUUUGUGAUAACUUCAGGAAACUGGGGCUAAUACAGGAUAGAAUCUCUUGCUGCAUGGUGGGGGUUGGAGAGAUUCGGCGGUUGUGGAUGGAUUCGCGGCUUAUGCGCUUGUUGGUGGGGUAGUGGCUUACCAAGGCUGUGAAGGGUAGCCGGCCUGAGAGGGUGACCGGCCACCUUGGGACUGCGAGACGGCCCAGACUCCUACGUGAGGCAGCAGUGGGGAAUAUUGCACAACGGGCGGAAGCCUGAUGCAGAAACGCCGCGUGCGGGAUGACGGCCUUCGGGUUGUAAACCGCUUUCGCCUGUGACGAAGCGUGAGUGACGGUAAUGGGUAAAGAAGCACCGGCUAACUACGUG
rnacentral:rRNA from 1 species